GAUGAACGCUGACAGAAUGCUUAACACAUGCAAGUCAACUUGAACUUCGGUUUGGGUGGCGGCCGGGUGAGUAACGCGUAAAGAACUUGCCUCACAGAUAGGGACAACAUUUGGAAACGAAUGCUAAUACCUGAUAUUAUGAUUAUAUGGCAUCGUAUAAUUAUGAAAGCUAUAUGCGCUGUGAGAGAGCUUUGCGUCCCAUUAGCUAGUUGGAGAGGUAACGGCUCACCAAGGCGAUGAUGGGUAGCCGGCCUGAGAGGGUGAUCGGCCACAAGGGGACUGAGACACGGCCCUUACUCCUACGGGAGGCAGCAGUGGGGAAUAUUGGACAAUGGACCAAGAGUCUGAUCCAGAAAUUCUGUGUGCACGAUGAAGUUUUUCGGAAUGUAAAGUGCUUUCAGUUGGGAAGAAAAAAAUGACGGUACCAACAGAAGAAGUGACGGCUAAAUACGUG
rnacentral:rRNA from 1 species